CAAUAGCGUAUAUUAAAGUUGUUGCGGUUAAAAAGCUCGUAGUUGGAUUUCUGCCGAGGACGACCGGUCCGCCCUCUGGGUGAGUAUCUGGUUCGGCCUGGGCAUCUUCUUGGAGAACGUAUCUGCACUUGACUGUGUGGUGCGGUAUCCAGGACUUUUACUUUGAGGAAAUUAGAGUGUUCAAAGCAGGCAUUCGCUUGAAUAUCUCAGCAUGGAAUAAUAGAAUAGGACUUUGGUCUUAUUUUGUUGGUUUCCGAGACCGAAGUAAUGAUUAAUAGGGACAGUUGGGGGCAUUCGUAUUUCAUUGUCAGAGGUGAAAUUCUUGGAUUUAUGAAAGACGAACUUCUGCGAAAGCAUUUGCCAAGGAUGUUUUCAUUGAUCAAGAACGAAAGUUAGGGGAUCGAAGAUGAUCAGAUACCAU
rnacentral:rRNA from 1 species